CAGCCUACUUCUUCUGGAUGUGCGUGGGUGGAAAUCACUUCACACGACAAGGAAUCUCCGUUAAUGAACUUUACUGAACUUCAGCAGGUGAGUACAGAGAUACAGCUGUUUACUCCAGAGAAGGCAGUUAUGCUGGGGUGUGGCUCAACUCGGGCACAGAACAUCAGGCCAUGUCAACAACGUCAAAACUCUCGCGGGAUCGCGUUAUGUUCUUCCUUCGUGAUUAUGUCACAUUCCUGACCAAUCAACAUGCUACACUUAGCAACAAGCAACAUCUUAGGUAAGGUGUGGGAAAGAAGUAGAGCCGGUGCAGCCAGCAAGACAGGGAGAAACGUAUGUGAUGCCGUUCUCUCCACAGACUGGGUCCCAGUCACCCGCUGAACAAAAACAGUCGGAGUUGCAGGCUGUGAACACUGAGUGCUUAUCAUAGGAUAUCGUAUCCAUGCUAGAAGGACGAGAAAGCAUAAAUGAGACGCAAUUACUUUUUAUGCCAUUACACUGGAUAUUCAAUUUGUCAUCGCACACAUAAGUUUACGUUGAAAUGCUUCCUAUAGUUGUAAUGCAUUAGUAAAAUAAAUGCUGUGGGUUGAAGCAACA